GCCGCUAGCCCCGCCCUCGCGCCUGCGCCUGCGCCAACGGUCCUGCCUGUGGUAAAGACGCACGUGAUCGUGUCUCCCGGCUUCUCCCACGGCCGCCUCGCGAGCAGGCCCUUCUCUACAGCACAGACGCGCUUCAGUGUCCGGCUUUGUGUGGUGCGCGGGCAAGCGGAGUCCAUUGGGUUCGGAUUCUCCUCCUAACACGUGAACUGCGGGAGUGUGGAGUGGCAGCACCUGUUGUCUUCAGUCUUGUCCAGCACCCAUUUCUCGUCCUGUCAGAGCGUCAGCACUGAGGAGAGCAGAAGGGGAGCUCCAGCUCUGACUCACCGCCAGCAGAUCCAAGGAUGCUUAAAGAAUGUGUCAUAACUCAGAAGACUGAAUGGAACCCGCGCAAUUCUGCAUAACCAAACCACAGAGAAAGCAUUGUCAUGUAAAGUCAUGCCUUGUUGUUAUUCUUUUACAAAGUGGAUCAGGACUUCGUUCCAUGCCUUAAUGUAGAUUAACCGUUUGCUAGUUCAGAAGUCACAGGGUGAUCAUUCAUUUCCUGGUGGCCUCUGACUGUUGUGUCAUAGAAACACAGUUCCAACGUCAAUACUAUGAAACUAUUUACUAUGGAGCUUCACAUUUAACGUUUAAUAUUUGAUCUAUCUAAAAUUCCCUCUUCUAAAAAAAACCCAAAAUGACCACUUCCCUCAUAUAUUCUGCAUCCAAACACAAAGGGCCACAUAUAUGACUGCGCUGAUACGAAAAACACAGAAUAGGCAAAUUCAUAGAGACAGAAGGAUCAGUAAUUACCAGGGGCUAGGAGUAGGGGAAUGGAGUGACUGCUUGUUGCGUGCAGGAUUGGUGAAAUGUUCUGGAACUCAUGGUUGUGAGAAAUACAUAGCAUUGGGAAUGCACUAGGUGUCACUGAACUGUCCAUUUAAAACUCACUUAAAUAAUUUUAUGAGAGGUAAAUUUUAUGAGAUAAAUUAUGGCAAACCUUGAGAAUGUGAAAGAGCAAAACAGCAAAAAAACAAUGCAGUGGAAGGGGAGGGGAGGGCACUGCUGGGGCAGGAGCUGGCAUUGACAGUGGUGCUGUCAGAAGUAGGGUCCUGUGGGCCCCAUAGUCGGCCUCAACCCACCCAGUCCUCUUACCAGGUUCUUGACUCUGCCACAG